rnacentral:sRNA from 1 species
GAGCUGUGCGAGCGUGGGGGAGAGAGCUUGAUCCUGGAUAGUGUUUGUAUGAUGUGCACACGUCUCUGCAAAUGCUUGUUCGAAGAUUGGCUGUGCUGCAUUUUGGUAUAAUUGAGAGGUGACAUAUUGUCCCUCAUCUCAGUAAACAUUUGGAGGAAGAGGACGAGAAAGAUUGAAUUUUGCAUUCUUUAAUUGGGAAGAAAAGGAAGGUGAAUCCAUGUUGAACUGAGCUAGUUUUUCGUUGGAAUAUACGUUGCACAUUUAUGGCGAUUCUGAGUGUGAGGGCAGACUUCUGCCAGGCUCAGCACAGCAUUUUCGCUGACAAGUGAGCUUGGAGGUUCUAUGUGCCAUAAUUAACAUUGCCUUGAAGACUCCUGGACACCGAGACUGGCCUCAGAAAUAGUUGGCUUUUUUUUUUUUAAUUGCAAGCAUAUUUCUUUUAAUGACUCCGGUAAAAUUAAGCAUCAAGUAAACAAGUGAAAAGUGACCUACACUUUUAACUUGUCUCACUAGUGCCUAAAUGUAGUAAAGGCUGCUUAAGUUUUGUAUGUAGUUGGAUUUUUUGGAGUCCGAAGGUAUCCAUCUGCAGAAAUUGAGGCCCAAAUUGAAUUUGGAUUCAAGUGGAUUCUAAAUACUUUGCUUAUCUUGAAGAGAGAAGCUUC